rnacentral:lncRNA from 1 species
ACAAGAUUAGUGUUUUGUUGUAGCACAAUUUAAAACAACUGUUUAUGAAAGCAAGACAAUGUGCAAGUACAUAAGCAUGAGAGCAACGGGGCUUUCAAUUUUAUCUAUUAAUGGUUUUCACUUGUCUUGGGAGAGAAUAUGAUUGCUGGAUAUUACAAAAGGUUAAACAAAAAAGGUAGACUGUAUUCUGUACUAGCUCUAGAAGUUCAGAGUACAAAAACCACAAGCACUUCUAAUAAAUCAAAUUCUACAGGUCCCUAAUGGUCGGAACUGUUAAGAAAUGGCUUAAAAUUGGUAGUGGAUUGUUGUUGUUGGUAGUGGGUUGUUGGUGGUAGUGGAUUAGUGGAUGGUUGUUGGUGUCCAUUUUCAACCACAAAUCUUUGCCAAAGUUUUGGACAAUUAUGUCCUUGAACUCUCUUAUAAAUAGAGAGGUUCAUUAGCCAUAUUAAUCAUCCCAAACCAAGAGAGAGCAAAGCUUGUUCUUUGAAAGCUAGGAUUUUAGCUUUCGGGUUUUCUAUAGGGGUUGAGAGUUGUGAGGUUCUCGGGUUGUGUCUUGAGUGUAAAACACUUGUAAUCUUCAUCUUGUUAUAGUGAAAUUUCUUUUCGCCUCUGCCCGUGGACGUAGGCAUUAAAGCCGAACCACGUAAAUCCUUGUGUUCACUUUAUUUUUCGUUUCGGUCAAUUUACUUGUAGUCAUAUCGGAGUUCUCGAAUCGAUCCUUUCCGCAACAAAUUGGUAUCAGAGCGUAGUUGAAGGAGUGAUAAUAUUUUCUGAAUUGCCCUGUGACUGCAGCUUUGUCUGAUCUUUCACAUCAGGAAGAAAAUAUUAUCAUUCAUUCAAAGGUUCCAAAUUAUGGCUACAAGUGUUUCAUCGACUAAGUAUGAUGUCGAGAAAUUUACCGGGAAAAAUAGUUUCAGUUUAUGGCGCAUCAAGAUGCGGGCAGUGCUGGUUCAACAAGGAUUGCUAAAAGCAUUGUCUGGUAAAGAUAAAUUACCAAGCACGCUUUCGGAAGAGCAAAAGGAUGACAUGCUAGAAAGAGCACAUAGUGCUAUUCUGCUAUGUCUAGGAGAUGAAGUGCUACGAGAAGUAGCGGAUGAGAAAACCGCGUCCGGUUUGUGGCUCCGGUUAGAGAGCAAGUACAUGACGAAGUCAUUGACGAACCGGCUCUACCUCAAGCAAAGACUCUAUGCCCUGAAGAUGGAGGAAGGUACACCUGUUUCCCAGCACCUGGAUAAAUUCAAUUCCAUUAUCAUGGAUUUGAAUAAUAUCGAUAACAAAAUCGAUGAUGAGGACCAAGCAAUAAUUGUUUUGUGUUCUUUGCCUCCCUCGUAUGAGAAUUUUGUUGAUACAAUGAUGUACGGUCGUGAUGACCUGACUCUAGAGGAGGUGAAAAAUGCCUUAAGUUCCAGUGAGUUGAGGAAGAAAAUCACUGGUAAGGUGGUCGAAAACAAUGAAGGCGAAGGCUUGGUUGCUCGAGGAAGAUCCAAGGCAAAGGGUGGAAGUUCAAGUAAAAGCCAUCCUAGAUCGCAGUCCAAGAAGAGAAUACAGUGCUACUACUGUAAGAAGUACGGGCACAUGAAGGUAGAUUGUCCGAAAAGGAAGGAGAAAUCAGAAUCACAGGAGCAACAAAAUGAUCGUGCGAAUGUAGCUGAUGCAGAUUCUUCAAGUGAUGCCGAGAUCGUUCUUGCAGUAUCCGACUCUUACGCUGGUGGGAGAUGGAUUCUUGAUACGGGAGCUACAUUUCAUAUAAGUACUUCGAAAGAUGCAUUCUCAACAUACGAGAAGCAUUCUGGUUCAGUACUAAUGGGAAAUGACCACGCAUGUCAAGUCAUGGGGAUUGGCACAGUUCGUAUAAAGAUGUUUGACGGUAUUGUUAGAACUCUAACUGAUGUUCGGCACAUUCCAGAAAUGAAGAAAAAUUUGAUCUCUUUGAGUACGUUGGACAAGAAAGGCUUUCGGUACUCUGCUGAAGGUGGAGUUCUCAAGGUAUUCUCGGGUGCUUUGACUGUGAUACGUGGUAAUUUGGAGCGGGGCCUUUACUUCCUCAAUGGUUCCUCGGUUACAGGUGUUGCGGGAGUGUCAUCAUCAGAUGAUCUAGAUUCUGACACCACGAAGUUAUGGCAUAUGCGGCUCGGGCAUAUGAGCGAGAGAGGCUUAUCGGUGCUAAGCAAACGAGGAUUAUUGUCUGGGCAGUGUACAGGAAAGUUGAAUUUCUGUGAGCACUGCGUCUUCGGUAAGCAGACUCGGGUAAAGUUCAGCACUGGGAUUCACAAGACAAAAGGCACAGUGGAUUACUUCCAUUCUGACCUUUGGGGGCCUUCUCCGACAAUUUCUAAAGGUGGUUACAGAUAUCUGCUUACCUUUAUCGAUGAUUACUCGAGAAAGGUUUGGGUGUAUUUUCUGAAGAGAAAGUAUGAGGUUCUCAUCAACUUCAAGCAAUUUAAAGCUUUGAUCGAAAAUCAAACAGGAAAGAAGAUCAAGCGAUUCCGGACGGAUAAUGGCUUGGAGUUUUGCUCAGGUGAAUUCAAUGAGUUCUGCAAGAAUGAAGGAAUAGUGAGACACCGCACUGUUCGUCGAACACCACAACAAAAUGGAGUUGCAGAACGCAUGAAUAGAACUCUCUUGGAGCGAGCUCGUUGCAUGCGAUCAAAUGCUGGGCUCGGUGAAGAAUUUUGGGCUGAAGCUGUUAAUACUGCUUGUUAUUUGGUUAACAGAUCUCCGUCAACAGCUAUUGAGCUGAAGACUCCUGAGGAAGUAUGGUCUGGUUCUCCUGCUGAUUACUCUGGUUUAAGAGUGUUUGGCUGCCCUGCGUAUGCUCAUGUAAAUGAGGGAAAACUCAAACCGAGGGCGAAGAAAUGCAUAUUUCUUGGAUACGGCCAAGGGGUGAAAGGAUACAGGUUGUGGUGUCCUGAUCCGGUUUCGUCCAAGUUCAUCAUCAGCAGAGAUGUGACUUUUGAUGAGUCAUCCAUGCUUCGAUCCACCACAAAUUCCCGGGAAAAGGAGGAGUCAGAUAGAAUGGGAGAUCACGGUGUUGAGAAGCAGGUGGAGUGUCAGGUGGACGCUCCAAUUCCUACGGAAGGUACUUCAGUCCAGGAUGAUCAAGUUGAGGUGCAAGAUUCCGAUGAAGAUGAGUCACCUCAAGAAAAACCAUAUAGCAUUGCCACUGGAAGAACGAAGAGACAAAUCAAACCAAAUCCGCGUUACGCUAAUCUGGUGUCUUUCGCGCUCAGUGUGGCGGAGUCCAUUGGUAUAGAACCUUCCAGUUAUAAUGAGGCUGUCACGUGUGAUGAGUCGGCACAGUGGGCAAUUGCUAUGAGUGAGGAGAUAGAAUCUCUUCACAAGAACCAUACUUGGGAGUUGGUUAAGCCGCCAAGUAACCAGAAGAUAGUUGGUUGCAAAUGGGUCUUCAAGAAAAAGGAAGGCAUCCUAGGGGUUGAAGCAACUAGAUUCAAGGCACGAUUGGUUGCUAAAGGCUUCACUCAGAAAGAGGGGGUUGACUACAAUGAAGUUUUCUCCCCAGUCGUAAAGCAUUCUUCCAUUCGUAUAUUACUUGCCAUGGUGGCCAAGUCUGAUCUAGAACUUGAGCAGCUUGACGUAAAAACGGCGUUCUUGCAUGGUGAGCUCGAGGAAACAAUCUACAUGCGUCAACCAGAGGGUUUUACAGUUCCUGGUAAAGAAGACCAUGUCUGUCUAUUAAAGAAGUCUUUAUAUGGAUUGAAACAAUCCCCAAGGCAGUGGUACAAGCGGUUUGAUAGCUUCAUGAUUCAGCAUGGUUACACAAGAUGUGACUAUGAUGCUUGUGUCUAUCAUCGGAAGCUCUCAGAUGGUUCGCACAUUUAUUUGUUGCUGUAUGUUGAUGACAUGUUAAUUGCUUCCAAAAACAUGUCGGAAAUCAACAAGUUAAAGUCGCAGUUGAGUGGUGAGUUCGAGAUGAAGGAUCUGGGUGCUGCCAAGAAAAUUUUGGGCAUGGAUAUUCACAGAGAUCGCAAGGCGGGCAAGCUUCGUGUGUCGCAGAAGAACUACAUUGAAAAGGUUCUUCAACGCUUCGGCAUGGAUAAAGCGAAAACUGUGAGUACUCCGUUGGCACCACAUUUCAAACUCUCUGCAGAGUUGUCACCACAAUCUGAUGAAGAAAAGCAGCAAAUGUCUCACAUUCCAUACUCGAGUGCAGUUGGAAGCGUGAUGUAUGCAAUGGUUUGCACUCGUCCAGACAUUUCACAUGCAGUUAGUGUGGUCAGCAGAUACAUGAGUUGUCCUGGCAAGGAACACUGGCAGGCCGUGAAAUGGAUUCUCAGGUACUUGAGAGGUUCUGCAGAUUUAUGCUUGGUAUAUGAUCAGAGUGACUGCACUAGCAGUGUCACGGGCUAUGCGGACUCUGAUUAUGCUGGAGAUCUGGACAAAAGAAGAUCUCUGACGGGUUAUGUUUUCACUUAUUCUGGAGGAGCCAUUAGUUGGAAAGUUGUGUUACAGUCUACCGUAGCCUUAUCUACGACUGAGGCGGAAUAUAUGGCGUUAGCAGAAGCAGUGAAAGAAGCAUUGUGGAUGAAAGGUCUAGUAAGCAGUUUGGGUUUACAACAGGAUUUCACUGUUGUAUUUUGCGAUAGCCAGAGUGCCAUACAUCUGACUAAAAAUCAGAUGUUUCAUGAACGGACCAAACACAUUGAUGUCAGAUAUCAUUUUGUUCGGGAACAUGUUACGCAAGGUGACAUUGUUAUCAGCAAGGUUGCUACCGAGAAGAAUCCUGCAGAUAUGUUAACUAAGGUGAUCCCUGCAUAUAAGUUCAAGCAUUGCUUGGACUUGAUAGGUAUUCGGGAUUGAUUAGCGCCAGAGAGGCGUUUGGAAGAGGUGAUCCAGUUCACUAUGAUGUUCAGCUUGGUAAAUUUCAAGCCAAGGUGGAGAUUUGUUAAGAAAUGGCUUAAAAUUGGUAGUGGAUUGUUGUUGUUGGUAGUGGGUUGUUGGUGGUAGUGGAUUAGUGGAUGGUUGUUGGUGUCCAUUUUCAACCACAAAUCUUUGCCAAAGUUUUGGACAAUUAUGUCCUUGAACUCUCUUAUAAAUAGAGAGGUUCAUUAGCCAUAUUAAUCAUCCCAAACCAAGAGAGAGCAAAGCUUGUUCUUUGAAAGCUAGGAUUUUAGCUUUCGGGUUUUCUAUAGGGGUUGAGAGUUGUGAGGUUCUCGGGUUGUGUCUUGAGUGUAAAACACUUGUAAUCUUCAUCUUGUUAUAGUGAAAUUUCUUUUCGCCUCUGCCCGUGGACGUAGGCAUUAAAGCCGAACCACGUAAAUCCUUGUGUUCACUUUAUUUUUCGUUUCGGUCAAUUUACUUGUAGUCAUAUCGGAGUUCUCGAAUCGAUCCUUUCCGCAACAAUGUGCAAGUACAUACAACUGUUUAUGAAAGCAAGACAAUGUGCAAGUACAUAAGCAUGAGAGCAACGGGGCUUUCAAUUUUAUCUAUUAAUGGUUUUCACUUGUCUUGGGAGAGAAUAUGAUUGCUGGAUAUUACAAAAGGUUAAACAAAAAAGGUAGACUGUAUUCUGUACUAGCUCUAGAAGUUCAGAGUACAAAAACCACAAGCACUUCUAAUAAAUCAAAUUCUACAGGUCCCUAAUGGUCGGAACCAUUACUCAUUUAUCUUCAGAAAACAGGAGUAGCGAGUUGCAAAAAUAUAUACCUCAUCAACUUCCAUUGAGAUAUCAUUCGCACUUUGCCUAAGUAAUCCUUUCAAUCUUCCUUUCUUGAAAUCUCAAAGCUCAGCACCAAUGUUGUUUUCCAACAUUUUUAGGACUACAAUCCAUAGACUCUUUAUCAUUGACCACCACAUACUUCCCUUGAGACAACUCAGAUGCAUUGGAAUUGGACAGAGUAUUUUUAUCUUCUGACAAUAGGUCAGCUAUCUAACAAGCAUAAAAGCUGAAGAAAUCAGGUCCAGCUUUACAUUGCUCACUCGAACCAUCUGAAUUUGUCGGCAUCUCUGACAUGAUAGAAGUACUACUCUGCAUACGACAACUACAUAGAUAUGAAUCAGUCCAGACAGAUAAAUAACUGAAGCAAAAGAGGAAGAAGCACCAUUAUAUAUACUAUACAAAUUUCUCUCUAAAGCUAUAUUUAGAAACAUGAAUUUGAACAUUUUGAUUUAAUUUCAUUUGUUAUAAAAAUCUACGGAUAAAUAAAUAUUGAUUAGCUAAGAUGAUGGAUCUCUAUAUCAGUGAAUCGUUAUAAUGCAGUAAUGUUGGAUAAAUAAAUAGGCACUUGAAGAUCAAACUCAUGUUUUGAAGAGAGGGCUUUCACUAAUUCAGGUGGAACAAUAGUUUCAAGUGCUGUUCCACAAUUCAGCCCAGAAGCAACCGGCUGACUUC